GAAAUGCGAUAAUUAAUGUGAAUUGCAGAAUUCAGUGAAUCAUCGAGUCUUUGAACGCACAUUGCGCCCCCUGGUAUUCCGGGGGGCAUGCCUGUCCGAGCGUCAUUUCACCACUCAAGCCUCGCUUGGUAUUGGGCAACGCGGUCCGCCGCGUGCCUCAAAUCGACCGGCUGGGUCUUCUGUCCCCUAAGCGUUGUGGAAACUAUUCGCUAAAGGGUGUUCGGGAGGCUACGCCGUAAAACAACCCCAUUUCUAAGGUUGACCUCGGAUCAGGUAGGGAUACCCGCUGAACUUAAGC
rnacentral:misc_RNA from 1 species